CUAUGACCAAGAACCAAGCAGAGCCACGAGCCCUCUAUCUUCACUCUGUUUUGAUGCAUCGUUCAGGUUCUGCUUUAAUGCUUUCGCUCAUACACAGUGAGAUCCUGAAAAUGUUUCAAAUGUGGGGCCUUUUGGAAUUUGAUAUAGAGAUUUCCUUUCCUCGUGAUCAUGAUGGUCUUCCGAGAGCCUAUGAUAAGUAAAAGAGCAAAGAAUCUGAUCAGCCCCACAUAUUGACAGUACAAAUGUUAUCGGAAGAGGUUUUGAGUAAUUUGAAGGCUGCUUUCUGGCCAUUUCAACAAGAUCAUGCUGAUAGUUUAUUUUUAAGGGCAGCAGAUGCAGCUAACUGUGUAGACAGCUUUAAUUGAGUUAUUUAGUUUGUGAA